AAUAUAAUUAUACUGGAGUAAUGGGCAGCAACUUCACAGCUAGGCCGGCUAUGGACCAUCUCCAGAUCAUAAACCAGACAAAGAUCUAUCCACAGUUAACACCAUUUAUUUGCGCAAUACUUGCACUUUAACACAAUGAAAUAUAAGCUAGCUUUACAUUAUCCUCGAUUUCCAAUCAAAUGCCCAGUUUAACCUCGGGCAUUUACAUGCAUUACAUGGUACAGACUUGUAAGCGUGUCACUCCAUCUCAAUAUAGUACACGAGAGCUAUUUAUUUAUCAGGACGCCGUUGGCUUGGGCAACCUCUUCGCGAUUUCCUGUCCCAUGAACAAAGUAUUAUUAGGUGUGUGUUGACGACAAAAAUUAAGUACACAUAUGAAGCUUAAUGAAAAGUUAACACAAGGGAAUCAUUUGGAAAAAAUAUGUACGUCAUACUGUUUGCGAAAAUUCAACUGAGAACGAGCAUAUCAAAAUGAGAUGGUCAUGGAUUGACAUUGAUGAUCUGAUGCAGUUUCUUUCCAUUUGAUGAUUGAUAAUGAUUUGUUUCACAAGAAACUUCAAAAAUUCAAGGAAUUCAAGGGUUUGUAAUGUUGCUAGCUUGAUUAUUUUGCUAGAAUACCACUAGCAAUUAUCAGUAGGGUUUGUAAUGUUGCUAGCUUGAUUAUUUUGCUAGAAUACCACUAGCAAUUAUCAGUAGGGUUUGUUAUGUGCUAGCUUUACUCGUUUCUUUUCAUCUUCUGCAUUACGUGAAACCAAAUAGCCUCCUCAGAGGGCAUACCUCAAAUACUUGAUUUAUAUUAUCAGAUGUUUUUGCUGACGUCUCCAUGAAUAACAUGCUGUUCUUCUCUGCAUACUCUUGUGCCUCCUUCAGAAAGUGUACAGCAUCAUCAGAUAAUUUUACAGCACAUUAAGUAUUUAUCCCAACUUCACUGUUAAGUGUAAAACAGUACCUGAGAAGGUACACUUCGACUUUCAUGUAGAUCAGCUUUAUUACCAACCAAAACCAUGACAAUACCAGG
rnacentral:lncRNA from 1 species